AUGAAAAUAGUGAAUGUUAGUAAAAAUGACAAUAAAGAAAAAGAAUGUUUAUGGGUUUGGGAAAAUGAUAAUUAUGAUUUGUUUCCUGCUUUGUAUAAAGAAAUAUUUAAAUAUUUUAAAGAACUUCGUAAUAUUAUGAGUAAAAUAUACAAAACAUUAAAUAAAUUAAAAAAUUUGAUUCUAUCGAAAGAUUUACAAAAUGUUAUAAAAAUACAUGAUUACUUAAAUGAAUUGAAAAAGAAACAAUACUUAGAAUCUGAAAAAAGGUGUAAAAGAAUAUUAAUCGAAAAAAAAAAAAAUCUCAAGAAAAAAAUGGAAUUAAAAAAACUAGAAGAAAAAAAAAAAAAAUUAGAAGAAGUUAAAGCAUUAGAAGAAAAAAAAAAUUCCACAAUUAUUAAAUUAGAUAGCGCAGUUGUUCAAAAUAAUAAAGCAGAAGAAAAAAAACCGAAACAACAAAAUCUUAUUAUGUCAUGGCUAACUCUUAAAAAAGCACCAACAAUAAACACAGUUACUGUACCUGAUGACACAACAAAACAAACCCUUGAAAAAUACCCCACUGUUAGUGUAUUUAGCUUUAACGAGGAACAUAAAGAUAAAAUAUUGGAUGCGCAAAACAGACUUCCCAUAUUUAAAUGUAACAAAAGCAUUGGACACAUGCCAAAUUUGCUAUUGCAGAGUAACGGAAGCAUUGACAAGCAAGAAUUGUUCACAAAUUAUGUGGAUGUAUGUAUAAAUCAUAAAAAUGCUGUGAUUGAUUACUUUAAAGUUUACGAAGAUAAUCAAGAAUUUUUUGAAGAAAUUCCUUCAAUCGAUAGUAUUGAUGGAAAUAAAAUAAUUAUGCAGAGUGAAAAAAAUGUAAGAGCUAAACUUUGGGAGGAUGAAGAAUUUUAUUUAAAAUUAAAAGAUGCCGAUACUAUUAGAAGUUUUUAUUUUUAUGAUAGUUCGUGGACAAGACCUUAUAUGUCUUUAUUGGUUCACAAAGUUUUAGACGACAAUAUAAAUUUAUUUCCUUUUUACUAUCAUGAUGAUAUGGAAUACGAAAAUGACACUAAUGAGGAUUAUUAUGAAAGGUUUGAAGCGAUUGACUUAACAACUGAAAAUGAAGAUAAUGAAACGGAGAGUGAUGGAAGUUCACAAGACAUGUUUAUUGUUCCCGAUAACGAACUUGAUACAGAUAUUGGUAUAACUCCUAUUACUAUACCGACAAGUCAAGACAUUCAUUUUUUUUCCCUUUUUGAUUGGGAAUGGACAUUUGAAGGAAAUCCAAAACGCAACUAUAACAUUAUUGAUAAAAAUACAUGGAAGGAAUUUAACUUGAUUAACAAAGAGAAUGUGUAUGGGUGCCAACACAUGUUCUGGGGAAAAGACAACAACCCUUUCAAAUACAUGUCUGACAAAAGCAACUUAAAAAACGUUUUGGAUACAUACGAUAUUAAGAAAUUAAUAAAACAUUCUCAUGGAAAAGUAAUUAAAAAGGAUAUUCUUGUUGAUCAGUUUAAAAUGAAAAAUGAGCACCUAACAAAAGCAGACACAGAAAGAAAAUUCAAGACUUAUUUAACAUAUAAAAAGUGUGAGGACAAUAGAAAGAAAUGGAUGGCAUCAGAAGAAGGAAUUAAACUUUUCAAAAAUGAAGAAUUAUUGGCAAAAAUAUAUGAUAUCAGAAAACGAAAAUUAAACUUAAUAUCCAAAAAAAUAGAAGCAGUAAAAAAGCAAAAAAAAAUGCAUAAAGAAAAUUUAAAAAAGCUAGAAAAAUCAAAAAAGCAAGAAAAAUCAACUGAAGAAAGGAGCAAAAUUGAUGAAAACGAAAAAAUUGACGAAAAUGUGGAAAAUAGUGAAAACGAAAAAAUUGACGAAAAUAUGGAAGAUAGUGAAAAUACGAAAGAUAGUGAAAACACGGAAGAUAGUGAAAACACGAAAGAUAGUGAAAACACGAAAGAUAGUGAAAACAUGAAAGACAUUGAGCACGUACAGGAUAAUCAAAUUGAAGAAAAUAAUUUAACAUCAGCCAAGCAAAUAAUAGUAGAAGAAAAAUAAAUCUAUCACUGCUUGUUAAGGAGUAAUAAAAAACGCAUAUAAAUAAAAAAAAAACA
ensembl:lncRNA